rnacentral:rRNA from 1 species
ACCACCACCGGCGAACCAAGGUCCCGCAGAAGCGUCGCUCGCGGCCCGCGCGUGCCGACGAGCUCCGAACAAACCCUCUGGGCGCGGCGAGCGCCAAGGAAUAGAAGCGGAAGGGGCGGCCGCCCCGCCCGGCGCGAGCGCGCCCCGGCCGGGGACGCAGCAUCGCGGCGGGGAUCCGCCGCCCGUCUGUGAACCUCUCGGACGACUCUCGGCAACGGAUAUCUCGGCUCUCGCAUCGAUGAAGAACGUAGCGAAAUGCGAUACUUGGUGUGAAUUGCAGAAUCCCGUGAACCAUCGAGUCUUUGAACGCAAGUUGCGCCCGAGGCCGCUCGGCCGAGGGCACGCCUGCCUGGGUGUCACGCCACCCAUCGCCCCCGCCGCGGCGCUCGCAUGCCCGGCCGGGGAGCGGAGACUGGCCGUCCGUGCCCGAGUCCUAGGCGCGCGGUCGGCAGAAAAAGGAGGACACCGUGCGGCGCGGCGCGGCGCGUGGGGGGUUGAGAGGCGAUUCGCCGCCGAUCGUACGUCGCGCCCGCAUUCCGCCGCGCGCGGUGUCGCCCGUGGGACCAGACCAGCCCGCAGCCGCGGGCGCCCGGACCGGGACCCCAGG